CCCGUUGUGACCAAUCGGUAGCAAAUGACGGUUAAUCAUUGGGUUCCUGGUUCGAGUCCAGGUCGUGGAGCCA
rnacentral:tRNA from 1 species